AGUGAACGCUGGCGGUAGGCCUAACACAUGCAAGUCGAACGGCAGCACAGUAAGAGCUUGCUCUUACGGGUGGCGAGUGGCGGACGGGUGAGGAAUACAUCGGAAUCUACUUUUUCGUGGGGGAUAACGUAGGGAAACUUACUCUAAUACCGCAUACUACCUACGGGUGAAAGCAGGGGAUCCUCGGACCUUGCGCGAUUGAAUGAGCCGAUGUCGGAUUAGCUAGUUGGCGGGGUAAAGGCCCACCAAGGCGACGAUCCGUAGCUGGUCUGAGAGGAUGAUCAGCCACACUGGAACUGAGACACGGUCCAGAGUCCUACGCGAGGCAGCAGUGGGGAAUAUUGGACAAUGGGCGCAAGCCUGAUCCAGCCAUACCGCGUGGGUGAAGAAGGCCUUCGGGUUGUAAAGCACUUUUGUUGGGAAAGAAAAGCAGCAGGUUAAUACCCCGCUGUUCUGACGGUACCCAAAGAAUAAGCACCGGCUAACUUCGUG
rnacentral:rRNA from 1 species